UUAUCUGGUUGAUCCUGCCAGUAGUCAUACGCUCGUCUCAAAGAUUAAGCCAUGCAUGUGUAAGUAUAAAUAGUUAACUUUGAAACUGCGAAUGGCUCAUUAUAUCAGUUAUAGUUUAUUUGAUGAAGAAUACUAAUUGGAUAACCGUAGUAAUUCUAGAGCUAAUACAUGUAUAAAGUCUUGUAGACUGCAUUUAUUAGAAUGAAAACCAUAGGUUUCGGCCUAUUCGUGAGUAAUAAUAACUAAUCAUAUCGUAUGCUUAUGUAACGAUGUGUCUUUCAAGUUUCUGCCCUAUCAGCUUUCGAUGGUAGUGUAUUGGACUACCAUGGCAGUAACGGGUAACGAAGAAUUUGGGUUCGAUUUCGGAGAGGGAGCCUGAGAGAUGGCUACCACAUCCAAGGAAGGCAGCAGGCGCGUAAAUUACCCAAUCCUGACACAGGGA
rnacentral:rRNA from 1 species